rnacentral:tRNA from 1 species
GCCCCGGUAGCUCAGGCUGGGAGAGCGCCCGGCUGAAGACCGGGAAGUCGCCGGUUCAAGUCCGGCCCGGGGCA